AUGGGCACUUAUUAUCAACUGGGAAUCUUGUCACCCCCACUACCCUAGAAUGUUUCCUUAUGACUGCAUUCUUACUGGCUGUAAGUAACUCUUUUACUCAACAGGGAAGAAGGGCCAGAUGGCAGGCAGACAUGUGCUUGAGACUGGGACUCUCCCUGACGUCAGUGGGGAACCUAAGCAGAGGAGGAGAGCAUGAGACUCAGCUUGGUUCCACAGCCUGUUUUGGGAAAAACGUCUGGUCUCCCUGAGUUCUAGAGGCUGGGAGGUCCAAGAUCAAGGCUCUAGCAGAUUCAGUGACUGAAAAUGACACUCUUUUGGCUUCAUAGACAGCGAUCUUCUCACUAUGUCCUCAUGUGGCAGAAGGGAAAAAGAUGCUCCUUCUGGAAGAUGCAUGGCCUGCCUACUGGAAGAAGUAUAAAGAAUGAGGCAACACUUUUGGGAGAAAUGGCUGGUAAAUUAGUAAUAGUAAACUGAUACCUGUACAAGAUCUGUGAAGGGAUCCAGUUUGAAAGGCAAACAAUUCUCACUGAGGAAAAAUAAACAUGAAAAUUUCAUAUACAAAGUUAAGAGUGGAUAAUACUUAUGGACCCUGAGAUAGAAGAUACCUACUAAGAAAGGCUCUGGGUGGCUAAAUGGACUCAAACAAUUAAAAAUUAAAAAAAAAACAAACCAAGAGCCUAGAAGCCAUUUCUACACAAGAGUUUCUUACACAAACCACUUCAUGGAGAAGUCUGCACUGAACUACCUGCCUCUGCAUUGAACUGCCUGCCUGUAUAUGUUUCUACUGCCUGAGCCAGCCCUUAUAAAGUAGUUUCUGGACUCCUGUUUUAACUAAUAAGACUAAAGCUUUCCCCAUCCAAUCAAGCUGUCAAGCUCCAACCAACCAGAGCAACUUUAUUGUAACCAAAUGAGGACAGUGCCUAUUACAUCAAUCAUACUGUGAGAAUUUGGAGACCUCAUUUGCAUGAGGACAGACCAAUCAGGAUUCAGGGGCUGGAACAUCUGUCAAUACAAGCCAGCUCUCCUCUGGCUCUGGGGGUGCACCCUUCCU